rnacentral:lncRNA from 1 species
GUCAUUAUCAGAGUUGGUCAAGUCACGUUUUCUAAAGUUUUUUUUACAUUUUUCAUUAAAUUUUUUCUUAAAUCUAUUUAUCAAAUGAUAAAAUCUUAUUAUAUUUCAAAUAUCAGAAAAAAAAUUGAGAAAUGAAAGAGAAAUUAGCAAUUUCAUCUGGUCCUGUCAUUGUCGAGGUUGGUCAUGUCAGUCAGCGAUGGUCAUGUCACGUUUUCGAAAGUUUUUGAAAAUAAAUCUAUAUUUUUUAUAACAUUUAUGUUCCAAAAUAUGACAUAUCAUUUUAUAUUUCAAAUCUGAGAUAAUUUCUUUGAAAAAUAAAAAAGUUAUUAGCAUUUUUAUUUGGUCCUGUCAUUCUCGAUGUUGGUCCUGUCAUUAUCAGAGUUGGUCAUGUCACGUUUUCUUAAGUUUCUUACAAAUUUUUUUCUUUUUUUUUCUUAAAUCUAUUUAUCAAAUGAUGAAAUCUUAUUAUAUUUCAAAUUUGAGAUCAAUCCUUUGAGAAAUGAAAAAGUUAUUAGCAUUUUUCAUUUGGUCCUGUCAUUCGGUCCUGUCAUUCGGUCCAGUCAUUAGUGUAACCC